CAGACUAUGGCGCGUCACUUCGUCAAAUUUCGAACUGUAGACCGCGCGUAGUAAAACGAAACGCGCACAAGACGCUACAUUUUCUUAGUAUUACAAAUUAUGGGAAAGUGAUUUAAUUUAUUUUUCUUAUUGUUUCUGUGAGAAUAUUUAUGUGUCUGAGUUGAAAAUAUUUUUUUUUAUAAUAAUUGUGAAUUGUGUUUGAUUUGGAAUAAAUCGAAAUGGCGGGUAUGAACAUGAGACUGGCUUUCGCUAUCCUGUCAUCAGCUUGUUGGUCUGCAUUCCAACAUGGGUACAACACGGGUGUCAUAAAUGCCCCUCAAGCUGUGUUGUCGAAAUGGUUACAAAUGGAAGCACUCACUGGAACCAAUGCCACCAUAGAUGCCAAAGAUGACCCAAAAGUGACAACCGUUUAUUCUGUAACCGUAUCCAUUUACUGCGUUGGUGGCAUGAUUGGUGGAAUACUGACAGGCUUUAUUGCUGACAGAUUUGGAAGAAAACUUGGUCUGUUAUUGAACAAUGGUCUGGUCUUUCUUGGUGCGGCUUUCGAAGGUUGUUCAAAGGUCGCAAACUCCGCUGAACUUCUUAUUAUAGGCAGGUUAUUGAUUGGUAUAAACAGCGGUUUGAAUGCUGGACUAGCUCCGUUAUAUUUAGCUGAGAUUUCUCCCGUCUCUAUGCGUGGCUCGAUCGGUACAGUUUACCAGUUAGUGAUUACAAUCACGAUCCUUCUCUCACAAGUGUUAGGUCUUAAAGGAGUUUUAGGCACAGAAUGGGGCUGGCCAUGGCUUCUAGCUGUAACAGUUAUUCCCGCGGCUAUCCAAUGCGCCACUUUACCUUUGUGCCCGGAAUCACCUAAAUAUCUCUUGUUGAAUAAAGGACAGGAGUUACAUGCGCAACGAGCUUUGAAUUGGUUGAGAGGCGACGUUGCUGUUCACGGCGAGAUGGAAGAGAUGCAUCAGGAAGCAGAAAAGAAUAAAGUCAGUAAGAAAGUGACAUUCCGUGAAUUAAUCAGCAAUAAACAACUUCGUCAGCCGCUGACAAUCGCUAUAGUGGUGAUGAUAGCGCAACAGUUCUCAGGAAUUAAUGCAGUUAUAUUCUUUUCAACUGACAUAUUCGAGAAAGCUAAGCUCAAUGAAAUGCAAUCGCAAUACGCGACAUUAGGUAUGGGAGCUAUGAACGUGGUGAUGACAGUGGUCAGCCUUGUGCUGGUCGAAGUGGCGGGAAGGAAGACUCUUCUAAUGACAGGAUUUAGCGGCAUGAUUAUCUGUACAGUGGGUCUUUGUAUCGCCAGUUUAUAUACGGAUCAUAUGUGGGUGUCAUAUCUCUGUAUCGCUCUUGUCAUCUUAUUUGUGGUGACAUUCGCAAUGGGUCCAGGUUCGAUUCCAUGGUUCCUUGUGACAGAGUUAUUCAAUCAAUCUGCUCGUCCCGCUGCCUCCUCCGUUGCUGUCACUGUUAACUGGACAGCUAACUUUAUUGUUGGACUUAGUUUUCUGCCUUUAUCGUUGGUCCUCGGUAUGAAUACAUUUAUAAUAUUUGCAAUACUUCAAAUAUUAUUUUUAUUAUUUAUAAAAUGCAAAGUUCCCGAGACAAAGAAUAAAACUGUUGAAGAAAUAACAGCAAUGUUCAGACAACAGAUGUAAAGGUAAGUUUACACUGUCGUAUUUACGAAAAAAAAUUUUUUUUUAAAUUAACAACUUUAUUAAAAAAAAUAUGUAGUAAAAAAAUGGGACUAACCUGAAAUUU